rnacentral:rRNA from 1 species
GAUGAACGCUGGCGGCGUGCCUAAUACAUGCAAGUCGAGCGAACAGAUAAGGAGCUUGCUCCUUUGACGUUAGCGGCGGACGGGUGAGUAACACGUGGGUAACCUACCUAUAAGACUGGGAUAACUUCGGGAAACCGGAGCUAAUACCGGAUAAUAUUUCGAACCGCAUGGUUCGAUAGCGAAAGAUGGUUUUGCUAUCACUUAUAGAUGGACCCGCGCCGUAUUAGCUAGUUGGUAAGGUAACGGCUUACCAAGGCUACGAUACGUAGCCGACCUGAGAGGGUGAUCGGCCACACUGGAACUGAGACACGGUCCAGACUCCUACGGGAGGCAGCAGUAGGGAAUCUUCCGCAAUGGGCGAAAGCCUGACGGAGCAACGCCGCGUGAGUGAUGAAGGUCUUCGGAUCGUAAAACUCUGUUAUUAGGGAAGAACAUACGUGUAAGUAACUGUGCACGUCUUGACGGUACCUAAUCAGAAAGCCACGGCUAACUACGUG